rnacentral:rRNA from 1 species
GACGAACGCUGGCGGCGUGCUUAACACAUGCAAGUCGAGCGGUAAGGCCCUUUCGGGGGUACACGAGCGGCGAACGGGUGAGUAACACGUGGGUGACCUGCCCUCAGCUCUGGGAUAAGCCUGGGAAACCGGGUCUAAUACGUGGAUAUGACUCCAUGACGCAUGUUGUGGGGUGGAAAGCCUUGUGCGGCUGAGGAUGGGCCCGCGGCCUAUCAGCUUGUUGGUGGGGUGANGGCCUACCAAGGCGACGACGGGUAGCCGGCCUGAGA